AGAAAGAAGAUGAGAGAGGUGAAGAAGUUUAUUUGUUAUGCCUUCUUUGACAAAAUCUCUUUUUAACACUUUAAUAACCUUUUCUUAUCUUUUUCUCUUCCUCUCUCUCUCUCUAUAUAUAUAUUUUU
rnacentral:ribozyme from 12 species